AAUAAAUCCAAAAAAUGCGAUAAAUGAGCACUUCUUGCCAUGCUUCCUAGACUUCAUUGUGUGGGGCCAUGAGCAUGAAUGUUUGGUUGACCCGCAGGAAGUUCCAGGGAUGGGAUUUCACAUUUCGCAACCAGGGUCAUCAGUUGCUACAUCACUUAUUGAUGGAGAAUCCAAGCCGAAGCAUGUACUUCUUCAAGAAAUUAAGGGAAAUCAAUAUCUCCCAACUAAGAUACCUUUGAUGUCUGUGCGGCCUUUUAAGUAUACUGAGG